rnacentral:rRNA from 1 species
UACAGAGGGUGCGAGCGUUAAUCGGAAUUACUGGGCGUAAAGCGUGCGUAGACGGUUAUUUAAGUCGGAUGUGAAAGCCCCGGGCUCAACCUGGGAAUUGCAUUCGAGACUGAAUAGCUAGGGUGCGGUAGAGGGAAGCGGAAUUUCCGGUGUAGCGGUGAAAUGCGUAGAUAUCGGAAGGAACAUCAGUGGCGAAAGCGACUUCCUGGACCAGUACCGACGUUCAGGCACGAAAGCGUGGGGAGCAAACAGG